UACUCCUACGGGAGGCAGCAGUGGGGAAUAUUGGACAAUGGGCGCAAGCCUGAUCCAGCCAUACCGCGUGGGUGAAGAAGGCCUUCGGGUUGUAAAGCCCUUUUGUUGGGAAAGAAAUCCAGCUGGUUAAUACCCGGUUGGGAUGACGGUACCCAAAGAAUAAGCACCGGCUAACUUCGUGCCAGCAGCCGCGGUAAUACGAAGGGUGCAAGCGUUACUCGGAAUUACUGGGCGUAAAGCGUGCGUAGGUGGUCGUUUAAGUCCGUUGUGAAAGCCCUGGGCUCAACCUGGGAACUGCAGUGGAUACUGGACGGCUAGAGUGUGGUAGAGGGUAGCGGAAUUCCUGGUGUAGCAGUGAAAUGCGUAGAGAUCAGGAGGAACAUCCAUGGCGAAGGCAGCUACCUGGACCAACACUGACACUGAGGCACGAAAGCGUGGGGAGCAAACAGGAUUAGAUACCCUGGUAGUCCACGCCCUAAACGAUGCGAACUGGAUGUUGGGUGCAAUUUGGCACGCAGUAUCGAAGCUAACGCGUUAAGUUCGCCGCCUGGGGAGUACGGUCGCAAGACUGAAACUCAAAGGAAUUGACGGA
rnacentral:rRNA from 1 species